GGCAUAUGCAGGGAGAGUGUGGCUUGCCAGCCGGACUGACGCAUUCACCAGGAGAUGCAGAGCGGAACUUGUGGAGUAAGGUUCUGGAAGUCCCAUUUACUUGCAUGAAAUUUACUUACAUCCUUACCGUAAGGAGGUAGUGUCUGGCCCAGGAGAAGCUGUCUCUACCUCGGACCAUGCAUAGGCUAACGGUGUCCUGGCGUCACAAAGUGAUCAGAACUGCUUCCGGGGCUCCAGAAUCAGAAGUCAAUAAAUAAUACCGCAUGGAGUGUUCACCAAGACCUGGUCUCUGUCUUCCGAUUUCCCCAAGUUUGUUGGUAUGAGUGACUACCCUGAAUUUCUUAUGGAUUUUUAUCCCGUUUACCAGUGCAGAAGGACAACACUUGCAUUCUAAAAUGGUUUGGAUAAGACUGUAUAUAACAUUCAUGAUACGGGGAGUUCGGCGUUACCAGCCUUGGCGUUCAGACCAGGUUGCUGUGGAAACUGUUUGAUGGAAGCAUAUUCAUCGCUCACAGGGAAUUCCCUUGGAUCUGUAACAUCUGAGAAAUCUGUAUCUCACAUUCCAAUACAUCGUAUGGCCCCUGGGCCAGAUACAAGCUAUAGGAGCCUCUGCGAUCCCUGAAAACGCCAAAGCUGGUAAACUACAUUACCAUCUCAGGCAGAAAAAAUGUAGCCAACUCUUACACUUUACUACAGGUUUUCUGGAAGUUCCACCAUGUGAACAAGACUAUAAAUUCCUAUUUGCACCCUGGAUAUAAAGCAUGCUGAGGACUGUCACUGUACAUUGCAAAACACAU